rnacentral:lncRNA from 1 species
CUCGUACGCAACGAGUUUACACUAUUUCAUAUCCAUCAUCACAUUCUACCACAACAUUACUCUGAAGAGUUUUAAAAAAAACUUUUCAUAUAUGUCUGAGGGAUCAUAAAAAUUAUGAAGUUUGAACUCUGAGGUUUAGGGGUAUUUCUACCUGCUACCUCUUUCAAUUAAGAAAGAAAGGUACUCUACCUCUUAAACAUUUCUUUAAUAGGUAUGUUUACAAUCACGAAGAAGGUAAACUACCGAUGCUGGUACUUUAGAUGAUCAGUCUAUUGUACCUUAGUAAUCCGAACGACUAUAUGCGUCCUUAAAUUGGAAUAUUCUAUCCAAUUAGUAUAUCCCCAUUUUCAGGGUUGUUCACCUCAGACUUAUCAUAAGAUUCCGCACCAAAACGAUUUGGUUCGGGAAAUUUCUUUCAAUGAACACUUAGAGUUUUCAUAAACAUUAGUCUAGCUGAAUCGAAUAGCAUAGACUCAUAUCUAUAAUUCAGUUCAAUAGAAUUAUUUAAGUAUAGCCAAACCCCGUUGGCAAAUUAAAAUUUUGAAAACAUUUUUCAAGAAUGACGUCAUGAUGCCGCACUGUAUUUAUAGUCUGUUGAGGAUUCCGUCAUUUGGUGAUUUUAUCAUACUACAUCAUACCAUAGUGGGAUGAUGAUCCUGAGAUCACAUCCAACACUAAGUAAUAC